UACGGAGGGGGCUAGCGUUGCUCGGAAUCACUGGGCGUAAAGCGCACGUAGGCGGCUUGUUAAGUCAGGGGUGAAAUCCUGGAGCUCAACUCCAGAACUGCCUUUGAUACUGGCGAGCUUGAGUCCGGGAGAGGUGAGUGGAACUGCGAGUGUAGAGGUGAAAUUCGUAGAUAUUCGCAAGAACACCAGUGGCGAAGGCGGCUCACUGGCCCGGUACUGACGCUGAGGUGCGAAAGCGUGGGGAGCAAACAGG
rnacentral:rRNA from 1 species